rnacentral:rRNA from 1 species
UACGUAGGGGGCAAGCGUUGUCCGGAAUCAUUGGGCGUAAAGAGCGUGUAGGCGGCCCCGGUAAGUCCGCUGUGAAAGUCCAGGGCUCAACCCUGGAAUGCCGGUGGAAACUGUCGGGCUAGAGUCCGGAAGAGGCGAGUGGAAUUCCUGGUGUAGCGGUGAAAUGCGCAGAUAUCAGGAGGAACACCAAUGGCGAAGGCAGCUCGCUGGACGGUACUGACGCUGAGACGCGAAAGCGUGGGAGCGAACAGG